GAAUCUUGCUUCAAUGAGUUAAAUCCGUGUAUAACAAGAUAAGCCUAAGAUUAUAAGGAUAAAGAUUAGGAUUAGGAUUAGUAAAAAGAUAAGUAUUAAAAUAAAGAUAAAACCGAUAAAAUAAAAUAAAUCGGGUGUAUGGACCGCGCGCGCUGCCGCCCGCCCGGCCCGGCACAUACUCGUGCCGUGCGUGCGUGCAUUUAAACGGGAGUAUAACUCUCAUUUUCUCCCAAGCAACUAGCUUGAAAAUAAAGCAAUAUAUAAAAACCACAAGCACCCUUAUGGUUUUCAAUGUGGAACUAAACAUCUCACAUGAAAAUUUUAGUUGGGCUCCUAAGAGGCCCAUUAACAAUUAUUGGGCUCCUUACGUGGUUUUAAUAAGUUUUAAAUCACAAAAACCU
rnacentral:lncRNA from 1 species